GGAAAAAUGUGGGACCAAAAGGAAUAUUGACAUCUUGACUGGCGUCCACCGCGUUGUUCCCGGGGGAAAAGAUGAGGAGUCAGAGGAGAAAAACCUGAAAUCUUUUUAAGCCACAACACGACAUCCCCGCUGCUUUUCUCGCCAGCCAAACAACACAGGAGUGGAACUCGCAGGAGAUCAAUGACUCCCUUGGGUUUACAUGGCCUUUCUUGUCUUGAUUUCUACUGGUUAGUGCUUCUGGGUAGUAAUUAUGGGAUACUAGGUUUCAAUUUCAUCUAUAAAUAUGCGUUGAUGAUGGCUGUUUGGUUGUUUGGAUGGACUGCAGUUGCUUUUAGCCACCUGUGUCUGGUGCUUUCUUUUACUCUUUUUUUCCCCCCUCUGAUUUCCCCGUUUGAUUACGUUUCUCGCCUGCUUUUUUUUGUUUUAAUCCUGUUUUGGUUUCUACAAUACGUAAGUUUCUUUGAAUUUCGUGCUUGUUUCGAAAAAUUGUUGACUAUUUGUUAAAUUUCUUUAGGGUUACUUGGGUGUCUAUUGGUACGGAUUAUUUUGCUUAAUUGUUAAUAUGACGAUGAUGGUCUUUCUCUAUAUGUCGGGUGGCGGAAUUUCAUAAUUUGUUCCUCCAUAGCUAUUUUAACUAUAAAUCGGUGAGAAUACUCUCUCAUGAUGACUGUUCAGUGCGCCAUGGCUAUUUUUAGUGUUAAAUAGGUUUUCUUUUGUGGUGGCUGACUUUAAUUCCUGAGUACUUUAACAUGUGGUAGUUUUGGACACAUCACUUGUGAAAUGUAAACCCCAAAGGCUGCUCCUCUUUUCCCCAGCGAAUAAUUUUGCUGAUGUUUUAGGAUAUUGUGAUGUUUGUGGUUUGACUUAAAUGUUUUGGGCUUGGUUCUGCAUGCAUCCCUUUAUUUAGUCAAUGAUUUCUGUUUUUUUUUUUACAUGAAUCCAAUUGAUGAUGAAAACUGCUAAAGAAAAUUUAAAAUUGUGUGUUCUCCAUUUUCUUUGGACUCAUUUGACUUUUCUAAUUUUCCAAUUUAAGAAACCCAGAGCCUGAUGCUCCUUGAAACUUUCAGUACGAGGGGAUGUUCCUUGAAAAGAGUAAGAGUAAGGAAAAAUCAUGGACUAAAACCAUAUUUAUAUAGGGCAAACGUUGAAUUGGACUUGGAAUAAUACAAAGCAAUGGUCAUUCCCUUGACCAAGUUUCUAGUUACUAAGCCUUUUGGAUUGUGAUCAGCUCGUUCAAAUUAGUUUAGUGUUAGCUACUUGUUAUGUUUUCUGCAUUCUGUACAUUUAACCUACCGUUGAUUCGUUGAAUCAUCCUUGCUCUUGUAUAUAUUAGGCUUGAAUUAGCCAUUGUAAAAAAUACUUGCCAUGUUCUUGUAGGCAUGGGAUGUUGUAUAUAUAUAUAAUAGGUGUGGAAUGUGGAGCUCUUGGACUAGUGGGUAGCCUAUUCCUUAAGACUUCAAUUAGGACAAAUUCUCAGGUUGAAGUUCCCUUUCAUGGUAAUGAUAGUAACGAAUAAAAACAUGACUUACCAAAAAAAAGUUAUAAAAUGUGGAACUCAUUUUGGACUUAUUUAAAUCCUUGUUUCUUAUACUUUUUGCUCCCUGUGCUUUAGUGACACAAGUAGCCUUGUUCAGAGACAGAUGGAUUUUAUGUUGAGUGAUGCUGUAGGUUGAAAGAGUAUUGGCUGAUUCCUAAUUUGUAUCAUUUUUAGCAGAAUUUGGAUUGGGUUACAAACAGUGAAUAUGUUAUUUCUACGUUUAUGUAUCUGUCCGUUUAAGUAAAUCUUGACGCCAUGGUCGUGGUACGAUGGAUUUUUGGCGGUGUUUAUCAUACUCAGUCUUUUAAUGAUACCCUUUUAUGGUAUGCUCUUUCGAAGCAUAUCUUGUUUCCAUGCUCAUACUAUGAGGGUUCUGCAAGAAACAUUGCAUUUGGUCGUUCAAUCAACUCAAGCUCUUUUUUAGAUACCUUAUUUGUGCUCCUUUGUCUAUUGGUGACAGUAAAAUAUGAGAAGAAAAAUUACUUUUCUUAUUAUGAUACUCCACAAUUUAUAGUACAAAGCAAGUCCUAAAUCAAGGAAACUAAAUCAAUCAAGGGAAGCUAAUUCAAGGAAACCUAAUCAAAGGAAAUAAAGUGGUCAACAAGAGCUAAUAAUUCAAGGAUAAAAUAUCUCCUAAUUCCAACAGUGACAUGGUCGUUUCAUGGUUUGUGUGGCUGGGCAUGGCAGAUGGGGUUGUCAAUGAUUAAUGAGAUUACGGGUAGAUUCCUCAUUUCCUUAGAAUGAUGUAGACAUAGUUGUCAAAAGCGCACGAGGCGCAGUGCCUGUGCCUGGACCAGUAGCAAGGCGCUGGCCUUGCAAAGGCAACGCCUAGGUGAGCGCCUCUGCUCAGGCGAGGAGCGCAAGGCGCAGCGCCUCGUGCGCUUUCUCAGUUUUUUUUUUUAAAGGAAACAAUCAAAACAAUGUUUCCUUAAAAAAAAAAAAAACUCUUUUGUGUGCCGACUCCCGAAGAAGUGAAUCUCUCUAAGGUUGCCGAACACGGAAGGUUGCCGAAGGUAAGUCAUCGAUUCUUUCUUUCUCCUCUUCUUCCCGAUUCAUGGUGGGUUGCUCUUUCCUUUUUCUUUUUCUUUUUCUUUUUCAUAUUUUUAUACUAUUUGUAUUAUCUUCAAAGAACCAUUUUAGCUGUAAUUUAGACUGAAAAAGUGAGUUAAACUUUUCAGAAUUUUCACUUAUAAAUGGGCUUGAGUUCAUGGGAUUCAUAGAUGCAAGGCAAAUUACAAAGUUAUACAGUUGUCUCGACCACAUAGUCAAAUUAUGGAAUUUCUAGUUGCUUCAAUCCAAUUCUUGUGCAGUUUCUAUCAUCAUCAUGAUAGCCUCUUGCAUUCUUCCUUGGAAGCUUGAUGCAAUUUGUUUGUCUGAAAAGGUUGAUGCACAAUACAACUAUAGAAGGGGAAAAAACCGACUCUGUAUGUAGCAAGUUACUAAGUUAUCUGUUCAACAAUGUGAAUACAGAGAGAAAAAUCAUGAAAGUUGAGUUUAUUUUUGAACUUUUGCAGUGCUUUAUGAGUUUUGACUUUAAAUUUUAUUUUGUUAGAACUUAAGAUAUGUUAUGAGUUGUGAAUUAUGAUAAUGACUUAUGAGUUGAGUUUAUUUUUGAAUGUUUUUACUGUGGUUGAUGUUAUGACUUAUCACUUAUGUGUUUGUUAUGUUGAAUUUCUCUAUUAUUAGAAUUCAUUUUAAUUUUACGCCUUUCUUCGUUCGGGCGUGCGCUUUAAGUGCACCUUGUGCCUAGGCGAUAUAAGACUCUUUGCGCCUUGAGUGCGCCUUGCGCCAUUGACAACUAUGGAUGCAAACAUUGACUGCAGAUUUUUUUUUCACAUGAUAUAGGUUGAUUUUUUUCAAUUGAUAUAGGUUGACUUUUUUCACUUCAUAUAGGUUGAGAUAUUGGAAUUACACAAUUCGUCUGCAUUGCUUGUUAAUUUUGGACCAGAAUGCAAUGCUAUAUUUAAUUCUAAUGCAGGCCGUUAAAAAUUUCCUGGGAUUGCAAACUCCUGAUUGUAGCAUUCCAAGAAUUGAACUUGGGAUUUUUUGUUUGUAAGUGAGAUUCAUACCACUAGACGAAAUGCUCAGUUGAAGAUGCUAAUCAAUUUUUUUUUUUUUAAAUUAUUAUUUUGUAGAGAAUAUGCCUUUGAUUCUAAGUUUUUGUCUCUAUAUCGAGGAAAAUUAUCGUGCCAUGUUCUUGGUAGUAUCUGAAGGGAUGUUCGAGAAAAAUUAGCAUAUAAUCUUCAAGUCAAUUAAAUUCUUUGUAUAAUUUGUGACAUGAGUAGUAUGCUUGAUGGGUUUUACGAGAUGAAUGGGCUACAGGUUGUAGAUGCCUAGAUGAUUUGAAUAUUGACAUCUUACAGUUUUUUCAAUGCUAAGUUGAAGUUUAGAGUCGGAAAAAUAGAACAUAGAUGAUUCUAUAUUUAGGUUUGUAUUGACUUCUAAGAAGAUUCCUACAUUAUCUAGUUGACAUUGGGAGUUAAAACAAUAUAUUUAAUAAUAAAUUCUAAAUAUAAUGGGGCAUUCCGAGAAUCGAACUCGGGACCUCCCGCACCCGAAGCGAGAAUCAUACCACUAGACCAAAUGCCCAGGUUAUGAUAUUUAUAUAUAUUUGGAUGUGUAUAAUAUGCUGUGAUACUGUAUGUGAAUAAUACCUUUUAACUGAAUCUGUCUUUGGAGCGGAUCUUGAAGAUGUGUUCCUGAUGCAGUGGGAUAUGGAAGAAGAAACUGCUUCUGUUCUUUCACCUCUCUUUUAAUGAUCAUGAUGGGAAAAAGCUCUUUGCCCCCCAUGUAUGGCAUAUUCAAUUUCAUGCUUGCGAAAUUUAGUUAUGUUGCUUGUGUUGGCAGCUGGGUUUUUCAUGGUGAGUGAGGCUGCAGGUGUAUUCUUACAUCUGUGCUCCCUUGUGUUUUAGUGGAACCAGAUCAAUUCAGAUGCGUUGUCAAUGAUGAUGAGUGUACAGCUGUCGAGGGUCAAGGCAGAUAGUUUGUCAGUAUUGAAAUCAGCCUACAGGUAGAUUCCUCGUUGCCCCAGAAUGAUGUGAUGUCGAUAUUGACUGCAAUAAAUGGCUGGUUGAUCAUAUUGCCAGAAAUAAAAUAAUGCAACUGGAUCCAUUGAGUUUAUCAUACAUUAUAGUUUUUUGCUUGUUGACUUUGGACCAGAUUGCCAUGCUAUAUUUAAUACUAAAUAGGGGAUUCAAAAAAUUAUAUGAUGGAAAAUUCCUGAUGGAAGGAGUGAGGCAUUCCGAGAAUUGAACUCGGGACCUCUCGCACCCUAAGCGAGAAUCAUACCACUAGACCAAAUGCCCAGUUGAUGAUGCUGAUACAUUGGGUUUAUGGCUGAUGGGGCUUUGGAAAUGAUAAGCCUACACUGGGGUCAAGGCAGAUAGGUUGUCACCUGUCAGUAUUGAAAUGAGCCUAAAGACAAUGAACGAGUUUACCGGUUGUAGAUUCCUACCUUGCCCAG